rnacentral:misc_RNA from 1 species
GACAAUAUAUCAUCAAUUCCACUAACAAAAUAUGACAAUUCCAUGUUGAGCAAGUAUCCGUCACUGUGAAUCCAAGUACAAAAAGCUUUUUGGCAUAGCCAGGCGAGUUAGAGGGUUAACUUAAGAGAUUAAUUACAUUUUUCUUUUCAUCACAAGUAGCUAAAUGUGUAUUAUCCAUGCAACCGUAGGCAUUCUCUUCUGCAGCCUCAGGUGCGACCACUAGCUUGUUAGUAUAUAUGAUAAUUUUCAGGAUGCUGUUGCAGAAUCCCUUUAGUACAAUUGCUACCAACAGCAUUGGUUAUUGCUGGAGGCUUCAGAUGGAACUGCUCACCAACAUGAGGCAGAAAGGAAGACCCAGGCUUCAGAGAUGUUGCAGGAAUGGAGACAUCAUCAUCCUUAUUAGCAACAUGCCUAUCCUCAGUCAACUGGAAACCAAAUAGUCUGCAGCUGCUUUUACAUGAAGUCACUAUAUCAUGACCACCCCUAAAUGUUGAUUGAGCUAUGCCAUGUUGAAUAUGGUCACGAGAUACACCAAACGAACUGAUGCCCCACUGAUCAUCCCUUCUGCAAAUAUGCUCAGAAUGUGAGGACAUGCGCUUUCCAUCACAUGUUUCAGAAUUACGAAACCAACUUUGAAUGCCAAUGCCUUGCUCCUCGUGAUCACUUAAAUUGUAAGCAGGACUUGGGUUUGAAAUUGGGUUGCAUGCUUGCUGGAACAUUAACACUGAUGAAGGGG